rnacentral:rRNA from 1 species
GACCUUGCUCUUUUGGAGCGGCCGAUGUCUGAUUAGCUAGUUGGUGGGGUAAUGGCCUACCAAAGCUUCGAUCAGUAGCUGGUCUGAGAGGACGGCCAGCCACACUGGGACUGAGACACGGCCCAGACUCCUACGGGAGGCAGCAGUGGGGAAUUUUGGACAAUGGGCGCAAGCCUGAUCCAGCCAUGCCGCGUGAGUGAAGAAGGCCUUCGGGUUGUAAAGCUCUUUCAGUCGGGAAGAAAAGGUUGCGACUAAUAAUCGCAAUUCAUGACGGUACCGGAAGAAGAAGCACCGGCUAACUACGUGCCAGCAGCCGCGGUAAUACGUAGGGUGCGAGCGUUAAUCGGAAUUACUGGGCGUAAAGGGUGCGCAGGCGGUUUUGUAAGUCAGAUGUGAAAUCCCCGGGCUUAACCUGGGAACUGCGUUU